GACGAACGCUGGCGGCGUGCCUAACACAUGCAAGUCGAACGAGGUCCAUGCAGUGGCAACACUGCGGAAGACCUAGUGGCGAACGGGUGAGUAACACGUGAGGAACUUGCCCCGGAGACCGGGAUAACCCUCCGAAAGGAGGGCUAAUACCGGAUGCCCUCACCGAGUCGCAUGGCUUGGUGAGGAAAUGGAUUCCGCUCCGGGAGAGCCUCGCGGCCUAUCAGCUUGUUGGUGGGGUAACGGCCCACCAAGGCGUCGACGGGUAGCUGGUCUGAGAGGACGAUCAGCCACACUGGGACUGAGACACGGCCCAGACUCCUACGGGAGGCAGCAGUGGGGAAUCUUGCGCAAUGGGCGAAAGCCUGACGCAGCAACGCCGCGUGUGGGAUGAAGGCCCUCGGGUUGUAAACCGCUUUCAGUGGGGACGAAUCAAGACGGUACCCACAGAAGAAGGUCCGGCCAACUACGUGCCAGCCGCCGCAGUAAAAC
rnacentral:rRNA from 1 species